rnacentral:lncRNA from 1 species
GGGGAGUCAAGAUAGUCGCGUCAGAGGAGAAGCUAUACCAAUCCUGGUGCCGCAGCAAGGCGUAGUCGGGGAUAUUGCAGCUUCGAGUGCAGUUGCUGCGGACGCUGCUUUAGUCAGCUCCGGGGCCGAGUAGGUGUCUGGUGAGAGAGCCAGAGCUGCGCCUCACCUGUAAGAGUUGCCUAGGAUGAUCCAAUGCCGGACAAGUCCACCAGGGACGCUGGCAUGGACAUGCGAGAAGGAGAUGAUCCCGAUACCCUGGACUUUUCCAAGACUAACCUUGCUGGGGACAUGGCAGAGGACAAGAAAGAUCUUGCCAAGCUAGGGCAGUUAUCCUCCAGGAUUUCUACAUUGUUAUCCUCGCAAAAGCUGGCUUACAAGACUAGCUUGCGC